rnacentral:rRNA from 1 species
AUUGAACGCUGGCGGCAUGCUUUACACAUGCAAGUCGAACGGUAACAGGUUAAGCUGACGAGUGGCGAACGGGUGAGUAAUGCAUCGGAACGUGCCCGAUCGUGGGGGAUAACGCAGCGAAAGCUGCGCUAAUACCGCAUACGAUCUGAGGAUGAAAGCGGGGGACCGUAAGGCCUCGCGCGAUCGGAGCGGCCGAUGUCAGAUUAGGUAGUUGGUGGGGUAAAGGCUCACCAAGCCAACGAUCUGUAGCUGGUCUGAGAGGACGACCAGCCACACUGGGACUGAGACACGGCCCAGACUCCGACGGGAGGCAGCAGUGGGGAAUUUUGGACAAUGGGCGAAAGCCUGAUCCAGCAAUGCCGCGUGCAGGAAGAAGGCCUUCGGGUUGUAAACUGCUUUUGUACGGAGCGAAAAGGCUCUCUCUAAUACAGGGGGCUCAUGACGGUACCGUAAGAAUAAGCACCGGCUAACUACGUGCCAGCCGCCGUAACAC